rnacentral:tRNA from 1 species
GGGCCUGUAGUUCAGUUGGUUAGAACCCACCGCUCAUAACGGUGUAGUCGUAGGUUCGAGUCCUACCGGGCCCACCA